CCCGGUUCUCCCCGUCAUCCAAUUCCUCUGCGGACACCGAUUCGCAUGCUCUGACCCCCAGACCAACAGGAACACAGUAUCAUUCUAACCCCAAAGGAGAUUGAGCCAAUCAGAGAUCUCGAUGUUAAAAUGCUCUCUUCAAGAUGGCAGCGCCCUUGAGUUUGUUCAUACACUACCGGUAACAGGGGCUAAUACGAAGGAAGUUUCGGGGUCAUUAGACACUUGUAUGCCGGGUAUGCAGAAAAAAAUGCUACGAGCUUCGCUCCGAGAGAUUUCUGCAGCACUAAGGGAAGGCCAAGUGAGUCCAACAGAGCUUUGUCAGAAAUGUCUCUCCUUAAUAAAAGCCACCAGAUUUCUUAAUGCUUAUAUUACUGUAGCAGAAGAUAUAGCCUUAAAACAGGCUGAGGCAUCGAAGAAAAGAUACAGGCAAGGUCAGACAUUGGGGGAUUUAGAUGGAAUUCCUUUUGCGGUGAAAGACAACUUCAGCACAGCUGGUGUAGAAACAACAUGUGCAUCCAAUAUGCUGAAAGGUGAGGUGGACGGUCACCAGAGCCUUUCUGGUGGAGGCGGAUGUUUAUGGAACAAUCAUCUUGGAGAGGCUCACUUGGUUGUCUGUUUGGUAUCAGGUUAUAUCCCCCCUUACAAUGCAACGGUAGUUCAAAAAUUGCUGGAUCAAGGAGCCGUGCUUGUUGGAAAAACAAACCUAGAUGAAUUUGCCAUGGGCUCUGGAAGUACAGAUGGAGCAUUUGGACCUGUGAGAAACCCCUGGAGUUACUCACGGCAGUACAGAGAAAAGUGUGUGCAAAACUUCAGUGCUCAAAAUGAAGACACCAGCUGGUUGAUAACGGGAGGAAGCUCUGGAGGCAGCGCUGCUGCCAUAUCGUCUUUCACAUGCUGUGUGGCACUGGGGUCUGAUACAGGAGGAUCUACAAGAAAUCCAGCCUCACACUGUGGAGUUGUUGGUUUGAAACCAACGUAUGGCCUGGUUUCCCGUCAUGGUCUCAUUCCACUUGUGAACUCUAUGGACGUGCCAGGCAUUUUAACCAGAUGUGUGGACGAUGCAGCCACUGUGUUAGGUGUUCUUGGUGGCCAUGAUGCAAAAGAUUCAACCACAGUGCAGGACUCCUUUCAUCCAUUUCAGCUACCCAGUUUGACAGAUAUGAAGAAUGUUUGCAUAGGGAUACCAAAGGAAUAUAAUAUACCCGGAUUGUCUAGUGAAACUCUGGCAGUGUGGUCCAAGGCAGCCAACCUUUUUGAGAAAGCUGGCGCCAAAGUGAUUGACGUGAGCCUGCCCCAUACCUGUUAUUCCAUUGUCUGUUACCAUGUGCUGUGCGCAGCAGAAGUAGCAUCAAACAUGGCCCGAUUCGAUGGCCUGGAGUACGGACAUCGCAGCUGUGCUGACAAGUCCACCGAAGCCUUGUAUGCAGCAACACGCCGGGAAGGCUUUAAUGAUGUUGUAAGGGGAAGGAUUCUAUCAGGAAACUACUUCUUGCUAAAACAGAACUAUGAGAAUUAUUUCAUCAAAGCCCAGAAAGUGAGAAGACUUAUUGCCACUGAUUUUGCAAAACUCUUCCGUUCUGGUGUUGAUAUUUUGCUCACUCCAACUACUCUGAGCCAUACAGUGCCAUAUGUAGAGUUUAUGAAAGAAGACAACAGAACCCGCAGCACCCAGGAUGACAUUUUCACUCAGGCUGCCAACAUGGCUGGGCUGCCAGCUAUAAAUGUUCCUUCUGCACUCUCAGAGAAAGGCUUACCAAUUGGGUUGCAGUUUAUUGGCCGUGCAUUCCAUGAGGCACAGCUUCUUGCCAUAGCCAAAUGGUUUGAAAAGCAAGUGCAGUUCCCUGUGUUACAGCUGCAAGGCAUAAUGGAUAAUCUUGAUACUGUGUCUUACCAGGAGAAAUCAGCAUUUUUUUCAUGAAGUGUAACUGUAGGGUUUCACUAUGCUUUGAAAAUAGUUGUGAAGGAAGCCCAAAGCUCUGUGUUAGAAAGCUUUGAACACAAUUUAUGUUUGAAUGAUACUCUUCUAGCACACAGACUGAAAUCAUCCAGAGUUUUUCCUGUGCAAUUAAAUUGUCAUGAGGUUUGGAACUGUAUCACAGUUUGUAUACAUUAUUAUAAAUGGAAGGCUAAUAACUAAAUUGCAAAGCAAAUGCACCAACAGAUAAGACAAAAUAGUUGCAGAUUAUACAUAUUGAUCUUUUGUUCAUCAUAGAAAAGUGCAAGUCAGAUGGCGACAAGACAUAUGCAAAGUUACAGUAGUGUCAAGAGCCAAGAGGUUUUGCCUGUGCCCCUUCCACAGGAUACCACAUGAUCCUAUGCAAUGUAUGAAAGACUCCAUGUCAGAU